rnacentral:rRNA from 1 species
UACGUAGGGUGCGAGCGUUUGUCCGGAAUUAUUAGGGCGUAAAGAGCUCGGUAGGCGGUUUGUUGCGUCUAUCGUGAAAACCUGCGGCUUAACUGUGGGCUUGCGGUGGAUACGGGCAGACUUGAGUUCGGUAGGGGAGACUGGAAUUCCUGGUGUAGCGGUGAAAUGCGCAGAUAUCAGGAGGAACACCAAUGGCGAAGGCAGCACUCUGGGACGGUACUGACGCUGAGACGCGAAAGCGUGGGGAGCAAAACAGG